AGCAGCCGCGGUAAUUCCAGCUCCAAUAGCGUAUAUUAAAGUUGUUGCAGUUAAAAAGCUCGUAGUUGAAUUUCGGGGUCAGUAGGUCGGUCGUGCCACUGGUAUGAACUGGUCUCACUGAUUCCUCCCUCUUGUAGAACCGUGAUGCCAUUAAUUUGGUGUUGCGGGGAAACAGGACUGUUACUUUGAAAAAAUUAGAGUGUUUAAAGCAAGCUAACGCUUGAAUACAUUAGCAUGGAAUAAUGAAAUAGGACGUCUGUCUUAUUUUGUUGGUUUCUAGGAUGGACGUAAUGAUUAAUAGGGAUAGUUGGGGGCAUUAGUAUUCAAUUGUCAGAGGUGAAAUUCUUGGAUUUAUUGAAGACUAACUACUGCGAAAGCAUUUGCCAAGGAUGUUUUCAUUAAUCAAGAACGAAAGUUAGGGGAUCGAAGACGAUCAGAUACCGUCGUAGUCUUAACCAUAAACUAUGCCGACUAGGGAUCGGAUGAUGUUAAUUUUUUAAUGACUCAUUCGGCGCCUUACG
rnacentral:rRNA from 1 species